rnacentral:lncRNA from 1 species
AGGAAUGGUAUUCACCAGAUAGACACAUACCCAAGUGCCACCUUGGACCUCUGGGAGGCAAGGAUGGGUUCUGCCAGCAUGAGUGCCUUUCCCACAUUGCAAUUAUAAACCCUCCUGCUGAAUGGACGGGGCUCUCCACUAUCUGGAGUUCGUCUUAACAUUGGCAUUGCUUCCCAGACUGAGUGCUGCAACUACUGUGACAGGUGCUAUGAGACUGGGGGCAAAAGCAAGAACAACUGGGAAGAGAAGUUCCAGUAUUUAUUG